AAUAUUGGACAAUGGGCGAAAGCCUGAUCCAGCCAUGCCGCGUGUGUGAAGAAGGUCUUCGGAUUGUAAAGCACUUUAAGUUGGGAGGAAGGGGUUGAAGCUAAUACCUUCAAUCUUUGAUGUUACCAACAGAAUAAGUACAGGCUAACUCUAUGCCCGCCGCCGCGGUAAUACAGAGGGUGCAAGCGUUAAUCGGAAUUACUGGGCGUAACGCGCGCGUAGGUGGUUCAGUAAGAUGGAAGUUAAAUCCCCGGGCUUAACCUGGGAACUGCUUUCAAAACUGACGAGCUAGAGUACGGUAGAGGGUAGUGGAAUUUCCUGUGUAGCGGUGAAAUGCGUAGGUAUAGGAAGGAACAUCAGUGGCGAAGGCGACUACCUGGACUGAUACUGACACUGAGGUGCGAAAGCGUGGGGAGCAAACAGG
rnacentral:rRNA from 1 species